rnacentral:sRNA from 1 species
UUUAUUUAAUAAUAGUUUAAAUAUAUUAUAAGGUAAGCUAAUAAGUAUACGACGGUUAAAUACCCGAAAGGAAUUAUUGUUAUCGUUAAAAAAAAGGAAAAAAAGGGGUACGGAAAAGUUUUUGCCGGCCCUCCUUUUUUUAUAUAUAACGUAAAUUAUUCUGUAAUUUCCGCUAUUAUUUAUAUAUGGAAAUACGCGCAAUUAACACAAAUCCGUAAUAUAAUAUUUAUUUCCGGUCCGGUAAUUAUUUAAUUUAUAAUUUUCCUGCCCCGGGGCCCGGGUUUUUAUUUUACCGUUUUUUCCCCCCGACCAAAUUCCGUUUGGCGGUUUUUUUGGAGCGCGGCGGGAGGUGGGUAAAUUACCCAGUUAUUUUUCCGGGGGCGCGACGUGGAUUCCGCGGCGGCGUAAUUAUAUCCGCGUAUCCGUCCUGGUUUCGUAAUUACGUAUUAUUGGUUUGGGGAUAAUUUUGUAUUUUGGGCGCGUUAUUACCGGUACGGUUAUUAUAUAUUACCGGGCAAUAUUAUAUUUAUCGCGUUUGUUGUUUUUUUUCGGGAUAAAAAAACGCGUUAUAUUAUUAAAUUUUUUCCCCCAAUUUUACCCGUUUUCGUUUUUUUUUUCUUUUUUUUUUCGUUUUUUUUCGCCUUUUUUUUAUUUUCGCCCCGUUUUCCUUUUAUUUUUAUUUCGUUUUUAUUUGCCCGGUUGCGUCGCUUCCCUAUUUGCGGUUUUAUCGCGAACCGAUAAAAAAACCCUACCUUUUAUAUUUUCGCCGUAUUUGUCCUUUUUCUCCCCCAAACCUUUUUCUUUUUUAUAAUUUUUUCUAUUUGUUAACGUAAUUAUAUUUUUAUUCGUAUUUUUAUUAUAUUUUGGUUUUUUUCAAUUAAUCUUUUUACGCUCCAAUUACGUUUAUCUUUCCGUUAUUAUUAUAUUUUCGCCUAUUUUUAACCGCGGUUCCAAUAAUCCGGUCGAAAUAUUCCUUUUUUUCCGUCGUUGCUGGCUUUGGCCAAAAUAACCCUAUUAAUUCUCGUAAUACCGUUAUUAAUUUUGCUAAUAUACUUUAAAAUUCCUGCAGUAAAUUAAUUCGGCGCCGCCCUGGACGUUGUUAACCGUAAUUAUAAUAUAUCCGUCGCGUUACCAGAUCGAAUAUAUUCGAGAAUAAUUUCGACGACGAAAAAUAUAUCGCGUUUAAAUAAUAUAUUCCGGCCUAUUUCCCCUAUAUUAAGUUUUUUAAAAUUAUUAAUAUUUUAAAUUAUCGCCCCCAUUCCGCCGGAACGGUUUACAAUUAGUAUAAUAAAUAUAAAAAAUUAUUUUGCGACCACGUUAAAAGAUUAUAUACCCGAAAUCUUUUUGUGCGUCGUCGAUUAAAUAAUGUACAAUAUAUUAUAAUUGGCGAACGCCAUAUUAUUUCCCCCAAAAUAUUGGCGAUAUGUAAUAUUAAUAAUAGGAUUAUCAAAUUUUAAUAUAAUACCAAAAUAACGGUUAAAUUUAAUUUCGUUUAUACCACGUAUAUAUAUAAAUAUAAUCGGUUUCGGGACGAGAAGUUUUUGGCGCUAUUUUAAAACUUGGCGGCCCCAACGUUUUAUUUUUAAUAUACCGUAAUAGCGAUAAUAAAACCACCUAAUAAUUUAUUAUUAAUUUUGCCCAAAAUUUAAAAUAUAUAAGAAUAAAUACCCAUUUCUUUCCGACCCGUAGGCGGAUAAACUUUAAUUAAUUUAAUUAAAAACGCAAUAAUAAAUAUUAUUAAUAAUUAUUAAAAAUUUAACGCGAAUUCGCUAUUACCCACCGCGCGCGCAACUAACGUUAUUAUUUUUAUUUUCGCCACCGCUAAUUAUACGCGUUCCGAACCCCGUUUAAUACGGUAUUUAUUUGUUCUUUUUUACCGCCCCGUUCGGUUUGCGUAUAAUAUUUCUAACGGUAUUUUUAUUUUUAUUUUUCGGCCCCGUUUUGCUUUUUAUAAACGUUUCGACCAAUUAAAUUAUAAUUUUUUUAUAUUUUCCACCCCCGUUAUCCAAACGUUUGCCCGGGACUUUUUUUCCCUCCGUGUUUAUUAUAUUUCGCCGAAACGCGCGCCGCCGUUUCCAAUAUAAUUUUGUUACGCGGUGGGUCGUUACCGUUUAAAUUUUUAUUAUAUUCCAAUAUUCCGCCGCCGCGCCCCAUUCUUAUAUUUAAUAUUAUAAUAAUAUUAAAUGUUUAAUUUAUUACGAACCGGACCCGCAAAAAUAUAAUUAAUACGAUAAUAAUUAAUAUAAUUAAUAUAAUUAAUA